rnacentral:rRNA from 1 species
CACGAACGCUGGCGGCAGGCUUAACACAUGCAAGUCGAGCGCCCCGCAAGGGGAGCGGCAGACGGGAGAGUAACGCGUGGGAAUCUACCCAUCUCUACGGAAUAACGCAUGGAAACGUGUGCUAAUACCGUAUACGUCCUUCGGGAGAAAGAUUUAUCGGAGAUGGAUGAGCCCGCGUUGGAUGAGCUAGAUGGGGGGGAAAAGGCCUACCAAGGCGACGAUCCAUAGCUGGUCUGAGAGGAUGAUCAGCCACACUGGGACUGAGACACGGCCCAGACUCCUACGGGAGGAAGCAGUGGGGAAUAUUGUACAAUGUGCGCAAGCCGGAUCCAGCCAUGCCGCAUGAGGGAUGAAGGCGCUAGGUUUGUAAAGCUCUUUCACCAGUGAAGAUAAUGACGGUAACCGGAGAAGAAGCCCCGGCUAACUUCGUGCCAGCAGCCGCCGUAAUAC